rnacentral:lncRNA from 1 species
GUAGCCAGCUUUGAACUUCCCCCAACGAAGUCCCAACAGCCCUACUCUGAAGAAAGUGGGUCAGGGAAAGACUCCCAACCUCCCCGCCUCCACUACCAGAGCUAGGACAGGAGAGGCGAAGAAUUCUCUUUCCUCAAGGAUAAAGCGUCCAAGGCUGAGCAGGGCCCAGCCGCCCACGUGCAGGAACUGCAUUUCCCGUAGUAAACACACUGGCUUCCACACUCAUGGAGGGAUGACUGGUCUCUGGCAACCAGCAUGCACCACCCAAACCCAAGAGUCUGCACCUUCAACCAGAUGCCAGUCCAUGAAGAACACCAGACAAGCUGUGCUGAGUUGGACUAAAGAUUCAUCCAGUCUGAUCCAUCUGCUGGGUGUUUUCUACUCUGGAGAGCUUAAGGACAUCUCAGCCCAGUGACUUUUCUUCUAUGAGCCUGCUUUCAGACAGUCCGUAAAAGUUUUAAAGAAGACAAGUCCCCCAGAGGUAAUCCUUGAGGGCUCCACUCUGAAACAGGAAGACUCCAUCUGGUAUCCUGGCACCAACAGUAGUCAGUAGACUGGGUACUGGCCCCAGUUCUGACACAGUAGUUGUUAGAUUCCAGGCAAGUCAUUUAAUUUCCAUUCCUAAAAUGGUAAAAAUACCACCUGCCUCACCUCCCUUGCAGGGUUAUUCCAAGAAUUACAUGAGAUGAUGUGUGUGAAAGCACUCUGAAAAGGCUAAGCGACUGUAUAAAUAAAGGGUGUUAUUAAUAUUUCCAUCCAAAGCUCACCUGUUUAAACCAUGGUUUCCUGAAGUUAAGCCAGCUCUCUUCUUUCAUUCAAUUCAUUCCUUUGAUGUUCUUU